rnacentral:lncRNA from 1 species
UCGAGUCCACCAAAGAAGCAGCUGCUGCUGGGGAGAAGAGACUCGAGGAGGUGGUGGGCAAACUGUCUGAAGCUGCCUCCUCCCUUGCUGCCGUCACCACUGAGAGGGAUGCUGCGGAGGCCUCAAAGCAGAAACUGGAGGCGGAGAAUGCUGAUUUGAUGAAUGUGGGUGCUGAUGCCCUUACUGAUGGAUUCGAGCUAGCACUCGAGCAAAUCAGAUGCGUUCUCCCGGACCUGGACCUCUCGCAGUUCAGCAUCUAUCAUGAAGUGGUAGAUGGAAAGCUCAUCCCUCCUGCCCCUUAAUCUUUUCUCUUCUCUGUAAA